rnacentral:rRNA from 1 species
AGAGUUUGAUCCUGGCUCAGGAUGAACGCUGGCGGCGUGCUUAACACAUGCAAGUCGAGCGAAGCGAUUUAAGUGAAGUUUUCGGAUGGAUCUUAAAUUGACUGAGCGGCGGACGGGUGAGUAACGCGUGGAUAACCUGCCUCACACAGGGGGAUAACAGUUAGAAAUGACUGCUAAUACCGCAUAAGCGCACGGUACCGCAUGGUACAGUGUGAAAAACUCCGGUGGUGUGAGAUGGAUCCGCGUCUGAUUAGGUAGUUGGUGAGGUAACGGCCCACCAAGCCGACGAUCAGUAGCCGACCUGAGAGGGUGACCGGCCACAUUGGGACUGAGACACGGCCCAAACUCCUACGGGAGGCAGCAGUGGGGAAUAUUGCACAAUGGGCGAAAGCCUGAUGCAGCGACGCCGCGUGAGUGAAGAAGUAUCUCGGUAUGUAAAGCUCUAUCAGCAGGGAAGAAAAUGACGGUACCUGACUAAGAAGCCCCGGCUAACUACGUGCCAGCAGCCGCGGUAAUACGUAGGGGGCAAGCGUUAUCCGGAUUUACUGGGUGUAAAGGGAGCGCAGACGGCACUGCAAGUCUGAAGUGAAAGCCCGGGGCUCAACCCCGGGACUGCUUUGGAAACUGUAGAGCUAGAGUGCUGGAGAGGCAAGCGGAAUUCCUAGUGUAGCGGUGAAAUGCGUAGAUAUUAGGAAGAACACCAGUGGCGAAGGCGGCUUACUGGACAGUAACUGACGUUGAGGCUCGAAAGCGUGGGGAGCAAACAGGAUUAGAUACCCUGGUAGUCCACGCC